AACGAACGCUGGCGGCAUGCCUAACACAUGCAAGUCGAACGAGACCUUCGGGUCUAGUGGCGCACGGGUGCGUAACGCGUGGGAACCUGCCCUUAGGUUCGGAAUAACUCCCCGAAAGGGGUGCUAAUACCGGAUAAUGUCUUCGGACCAAAGAUUUAUCGCCUUUGGAUGGGCCCGCGUUGGAUUAGCUAGUUGGUAGGGUAAAAGCCUACCAAGGCGACGAUCCAUAGCUGGACUGAGAGGAUGAUCAGCCACACUGGGACUGAGACACGGCCCAGACUCCUACGGGAGGCAGCAGUGGGGAAUAGUGGACAAUGGGCGAAAGCCUGAUCCAGCAAUGCCGCGUGAGUGAUGAAGGCCUUAGGGUUGUAAAGCUCUUUUACCCGGGAUGAUAAUGACAGUACCGGGAGAAUAAGCUCCGGCUAACUCCGUG
rnacentral:rRNA from 1 species